rnacentral:rRNA from 1 species
GAUGAACGCUGGCGGCGUGCCUAAUACAUGCAAGUCGAGCGAACAGACGAGGAGCUUGCUCCUCUGACGUUAGCGGCGGACGGGUGAGUAACACGUGGAUAACCUACCUAUAAGACUGGGAUAACUUCGGGAAACCGGAGCUAAUACCGGAUAAUAUAUUGAACCGCAUGGUUCAAUAGUGAAAGACGGUUUUGCUGUCACUUAUAGAUGGAUCCGCGCCGCGUUAGCUAGUUGGUAAGGUAACGGCUUACCAAGGCGACGAUGCGUAGCCGACCUGAGAGGGUGGUCGGCCACCCGGGAGCUGGGACGCGGUCCAGACUCCUGCGGGAGGCAGCAGUAGGGUAUCUUCCGCAAUGGGCGAAAGCCUGACGGAGCAACGCCGCGUGAGUGAUGAAGGUCUUCGGAUCGUAAAACUCUGUUAUUAGGGAAGAACAAAUGUGUAAGUAACUAUGCACGUCUUGACGGUACCUAAUCAGAAAGCCACGGCUAACUACGUG